rnacentral:rRNA from 1 species
GUGGGGAAUAUUGGACAAUGGGCGAAAGCCUGAUCCAGCCAUGCCGCGUGUGUGAAGAAGGUCUUCGGAUUGUAAAGCACUUUAAGUUGGGAGGAAGGGCAGUAAGUUAAUACCUUGCUGUUUUGACGUUACCGACAGAAUAAGCACCGGCUAACUUCGUGCCAGCAGCCGCGGUAAUACGAAGGGUGCAAGCGUUAAUCGGAAUUACUGGGCGUAAAGCGCGCGUAGGUGGUUUUGUAAGUUGGAGGUGAAAUCCCCGGGCUCAACCUGGGAACUGCCUCCAAAACUGCAUGACUAGAGUACGGUAAAGGGUAGUGGAAUUUCCUGUGGAGCGGUGAAAUGCGUAGAUAUAGGAAGGAACACCAGUGGCGAAGGCGACUACCUGGACUGAUACUGACACUGAGGUGCGAAAGCGUGGGGAGCAAACAGGAUUAGAUACCCGAGUAGUCC